GCCCCUAUCUUCUAGUGGUUAGGAAGCCGGGUUUUCAUUCCGGCAACGCGGGUUCGAUUCCCGCUAGGGGCG
rnacentral:tRNA from 1 species